rnacentral:lncRNA from 1 species
UUUUUUAUAUAAAUCCGUAUAGCAAAGGCAAUGAGUAGUAGAUGUCUGAGGUCAAUGUUGCUUGCUGGCAAUAAAAUGGAAGUGGAAACAAAACAAAUGAAUAGACACUAAUCGUAUACAUGUGGCAUUACUAAUAUUUGGUUUGGGAAAACCUGUGAUAUGGAAGUAAAGCCGUUGGAAUCAUAUAUGAAUUGAACAUUGUGCAUCGACUAAAGCUAGAAUAACACCCCUUCCUAUGAUGUGGUUCACGUUUAUUCGACGAACUCCAUCACUCAGAAAUUAACUGAGCAUUGGGCCCUAAUCAUAGAGAUCUUACAUGCAUACGUCCUCGAUGAGACCACCAUCUCCCUCAAUCUAAGCUCAUCAUCCAACCAUGCAUCCAUGCAUGCUUACUAACUUCUAGAUACAGCUGCUUCUCAUACUCAAUGGCCUCGUCAAGCAUAGAUGCCUUGUUAAUCUAUAACAUGCAAACCAGUGCAAACAUUAACUCAUUAAUUUCAUCACAAACACGAACUCAGCAGCCGCAAAUCCACCGACAAAGAAAGAAGGAAAAAAAGGUCAUGACCUUGUUGGAAUUGAGUAUCAGGGUCCGCAACACCUUCAAUCUUCUCACCGAUCCCGCUCCUCUGCUGUUGUGGCCUAAUCAAUGAUCAACCCCAACAAGCAAUUAAGAAUUAUCACUUGAACAGGGCGAGAAGAGAAGAGCAAAGCGCACGACAACAAGCAAGGUCAUUACCUUCUCGGAGUGGUUGUGCACCUCAGCGGUACGGAUCCACUUGCUGCCAUCGCCCCCACGUGUGCCACCCCCACCCCACUCUCGUGGAAACUGUAGCCACC